UUUAAAACAAAAAUGUGUGCCAGGCCCUGGCCUAGGUACCCCAAGGCACUGGUGUUCUGUGGGAUGUGAAGCACAGCUGCCACCAGAGUGAUAGCUGCUGAGGGUACGUGAGCUAUGUUGAUUUACAGUCGCUAUGUCACAGGCAAAAUGAGUCAUCACGAGCCCUGUGAGCCACACUGCACUAUGGGCUGAAAUGCAUUCUUUGUUAUUAUCUAUGAUGUAUGCAGCUCUUACGUGGUUGCCUCUUUACAUUAUUUCUAAUAAUUCACAAGAACACUGCCAAAUGGAUAUCAUGAUCCUCCUCUUAUGGAUGAAGAGACAGGUUCCAAGGGCAUAUGCCAUACCUUUCUUAGUUGCAGAGCCAGUUCUCAAAUCUACAUCUGCCUUGCAUCAAAGUUACUGGUAUGAAAGUUAUUGAUCAUCAGUUGCUUGGCAUCAAAGGAAAUUCCAACAGAGUGACAUGUGCUAAACAGGGGCAAACAAAAUUUAAGAGCACACAGGAGGAGCCUAAUCCAGUCACUGGAGGUAAGGAAAUGUUCCUGGUAGAAUGGUAUCUAGGCUAAAGAGAAGAGCCAGAGGAAGGUGUGGUGGACAGGAGCAAGUGAUUUGCCAGGCAGCCAGCUAAUACAAAAUCGGGAGGCACUAAACAUCACCAUGAGGGAUAGAACAUGCACUGCUGGAAGCAGUGCAAACACAUUUUUCUGUGAAUCAUAUCCUUUGUACUAAUAUUUUGCUGAUUUUCAGUAAAAGGGUCCUUCAUUUUUGGAGGGCCCUGACAAACAGGGUCAACUUUUACUUUAUUUUACUAAUCUCAUGGUAUUGUAUUUGCUUUUAUGCCUUCUCCAUUAGACUGUAAUAUCCUUGAAGAAAGAAAAUGAGACCAUAUCUUAUACUGUAUUCUUAUUGCUUAGCACUAGGUUUAAUGAGGCACUCAGUGAAUGAAGACCCUAAAAAACAUUAACAGAAAGAUAAUAUAGUACACUGGUUAAAAGUGCAAGCUUCGGCCAGGUGAGUUGGUUUGUGCUUGUAAUCCCAGCACUUCAGUAGGCUGAGGCAGGUGGGUCACUUGAGGUCAGGAGUUCAAGACCAGCCUGGCCAACAUGGUGAAACCCUAUCUUUACUAAAAAUACAAAAAAUUAGCCAGGCAUGGUGGCACACACCUGUCCCAGCUACUUGGGAGGCUGAGGCAUGAGAAUUGCUUAACCCUGGGAGGCAGAGGUUGCUGUGAGCCCAGAUUGUGCCACUGCACUCCAGCCUGGGGGUCUAAAAAAAAAGCACAAGCUUUGGCAUCAGACUGUCUUGGUUUGCAUUCUGUUUCAACCAAUUAUUUGCUGUGUGGACUUAGGCAGUUUCCCUAUCAGUAAAAUGGGUAUAAUACAUAAAUACUUAUGUUCAUGGGAUGGUUAUCAGGAUUAUAUGACAUAAUGCAUAUAAAGUAUCUGGCACUUGAUAUCUCCUCAAUAAAUGUUAGAUCAUAUAUAUUUUUGACAAGUGAAAAUAAACAUUAAAAAGUUAUUACUUUGAACAUUCCCA
rnacentral:lncRNA from 10 species